GCUCGACUGGUCGAGGGGAUUACACGAUUGAUUGAGCGGGUUGCUCGACCAGUCGUGGUCAUCCUUUGACCAGUCGAGGUUAUGCAGAUUCAAGUCCGGAUCUUGUGCGGACUGCAGAAAUCUGAGGCGGUUUUCGCAAAGGUGCAAAAGGGAAGUUUCCUAAACUAUAAAUAGGGGUCCCUAGGGCAAUUCUAAGUAAUUCUAAGGCUUCCUAAAGGUAUUCUAAAGGGUUUUAGGAUUAUCAAAGGGUGUAGCAAGGGUAAGAUUCGAGGUUGUUCGAAUCGGGUAAUUCCUCUCUCUUUGUAAUUUAUGCUUUCAUAGUGGAAUUCUGUCGCUUUGUGCCGUGGUUUUUUCCCGUAAGGAUUUUCCACGUUAAAUCUGUGUGUUCUCUAGCAUGCUUGUGUGCUUGGUGCCAUUGGAUUACUAUCCUAGAUCUAGAUCUGUGUGAUUCCAUAGGCCAAAA